UACGUAGGGUGCAAGCGUUGUCCGGAAUUAUUGGGCGUAAAGGGCGCGUAGGCGGUGCGGUAAGUCACCUGUGAAACCUCUAGGCUUAACCUAGAGCCUGCAGGCGAAACUGCCGUGCUUGAGGGUGGAGAGGUGCGUGGAAUUCCCGGUGUAGCGGUGAAAUGCGUAGAUAUCGGAGGAACACCUGUGGCGAAAGCGGCGCACUGGACCACAUCUGACGCUGAGGCGCGAAAGCUAGGGGAGCAAACAGG
rnacentral:rRNA from 1 species